GAAGAGAGAGAGAGAAGAGCAGCCCCAGGGGAGAGAGAGACCAGCUGUGAAAAAUAAAUCUUUAAUCUGCCACCUACCCUUUCCCUUGUCUUCCUUCGGUCUCACUGGACUCAUAGAGAACUGGCCCCAGGGCAGGGAACCCCCUUCCUCCCGGAACCACAGCAUGAAGUAAGAAAAUGCGGAAGCACAAGACUUUCUGACAGAUGCCCCUGAUUUGGGGACAGCAGCACACAGAGCUGAGAGUUGGGCAGAAGUCAUGACACAGAGCAUGUGGGAAGGAGAGCUGAACUUUUCUUCGUGAGACAUGGAGGACACAGAACUGCAUGGUGCUCCUACCUAGAGAUGAGGUACUUGGAGAAGCAGAAGGAGUCUCCAGUGAUAGAGAUGUCCAGAUGUUUCUCUUGGAUCAUUUAGAAGUGAACAGCUAAAUGGUUGGAUGGAUGAGCUUUGAAUGGGACUCAGCGACUAAAAGUCCUCACACAGAGCAACUGAGGCAUAAGAGGUAACCUAGGAAAAACCGUAUGAAACUCAUCAUAUGUGCUUAUUUUGAGCUACCUUGGGAGAAGUCAUAUGACGGAGGACUGCUGUUGGUUUGAGUUUAUCCACAGGUUUCUGAUGUCGAACAUCUUUUUUUUAACUCCUUGCUGCUCACACUGACGGCCUGAAUAGCAUUGUCUUACCAAGACUAUAAUAAGUUACAUUUUGACCGAUGAGCUUAGGGUUUGAGGUAUAACAUGGGCAACAUCUCAUAAGCCUAUGGGCCAACCAACAUUCCCAGAUUUUCUGAUCUGCCUCCCUACAUUUGCAAAGCCUAACCAAGAAAUUAGCUCUGUAUGGGGUUGUCCUUUGCACAUUCACAAGAUUCACACCCACAGGAAGUGAAGAGCCCUCCCUGAGAGUCCAGCUGCUUAGUCCAGCAGGAGGACAUAUACUUUAGGGAGCAGAGUUUGGUUAAUUUCUAAAUUUGUUGAAUAUUAUUUAUUAAGCAUCUACUCUUUGCCAAACAUUGUCUAGGUACAAGGGAUGUAAAGGAUAAGUUAAAUGGAUAAGGAUCUGUUCUCAUAGAACUGAUAUGCUAUUGAGGGCAUGGGGGAAAAAAUAAACCCUAAUGAAAAAAUAAAGGAGAAAAAAAAAACCU